rnacentral:misc_RNA from 1 species
CUGAAGAAACAAGGGUUUUGAGACUGCGUCCUUCAUUGGCGUGUGCUCGGCCCUUACUCUUUCAUCCCAUACACACCUUUGUGCACCAAGGGACCUUGCGUCCCCUUCUUUAUUAUAAAUACCGAGUUAUAUGCAUGUAUAUUUUGUAUACUCUACGGAGUUAUAAAUA